UUGAACGCUGGCGGCAGGCCUAACACAUGCAAGUCGAACGGUAACAGGAAGCAGCUUGCUGCUUUGCUGACGAGUGGCGGACGGGUGAGUAAUGUCUGGGAAACUGCCCGAUGGAGGGGGAUAACUACUGGAAACGGUAGCUAAUACCGCAUAACGUCGCAAGACCAAAGAGGGGGACCUUAGGGCCUCUUGCCAUCGGAUGUGCCCAGAUGGGAUUAGCUAGUAGGUGGGGUAAUGGCUCACCUAGGCGACGAUCCCUAGCUGGUCUGAGAGGAUGACCAGCCACACUGGAACUGAGACACGGUCCAGACUCCUACGGGAGGCAGCAGUGGGGAAUAUUGCACAAUGGGCGCAAGCCUGAUGCAGCCAUGCCGCGUGUAUGAAGAAGGCCUUCGGGUUGUAAAGUACUUUCAGCGGGGAGGAAGGGAGUAAAGUUAAUACCUUUGCUCAUUGACGUUACCCGCAGAAGAAGCACCGGCUAACUCCGUGCCAGCAGCCGCGGUAAUACGGAGGGUGCAAGCGUUAAUCGGAAUUACUGGGCGUAAAGCGCACGCAGGCGGUUUGUUAAGUCAGAUGUGAAAUCCCCGGGCUCAACCUGGGAACUGCAUCUGAUACUGGCAAGCUUGAGUCUCGUAGAGGGGGGUAGAAUUCCAGGUGUAGCGGUGAAAUGCGUAGAGAUCUGGAGGAAUACCGGUGGCGAAGGCGGCCCCCUGGACGAAGACUGACGCUCAGGUGCGAAAGCGUGGGGAGCAAACAGGAUUAGAUACCCUGGUAGUCCACGCCGUAAACGAUGUCGACUUGGAGGUUGUGCCCUUGAGGCGUGGCUUCCGGAGCUAACGCGUUAAGUCGACCGCCUGGGGAGUACGGCCGCAAGGUUAAAACUCAAAUGAAUUGACGGGGGCCCGCACAAGCGGUGGAGCAUGUGGUUUAAUUCGAUGCAACGCGAAGAACCUUACCUGGUCUUGACAUCCACGGAAGUUUUCAGAGAUGAGAAUGUGCCUUCGGGAACCGUGAGACAGGUGCUGCAUGGCUGUCGUCAGCUCGUGUUGUGAAAUGUUGGGUUAAGUCCCGCAACGAGCGCAACCCUUAUCCUUUGUUGCCAGCGGUCCGGCCGGGAACUCAAAGGAGACUGCCAGUGAUAAACUGGAGGAAGGUGGGGAUGACGUCAAGUCAUCAUGGCCCUUACGACCAGGGCUACACACGUGCUACAAUGGCGCAUACAAAGAGAAGCGACCUCGCGAGAGCAAGCGGACCUCAUAAAGUGCGUCGUAGUCCGGAUUGGAGUCUGCAACUCGACUCCAUGAAGUCGGAAUCGCUAGUAAUCGUGGAUCAGAAUGCCACGGUGAAUACGUUCCCGGGCCUUGUACACACCGCCCGUCACACCAUGAGAGUCGGGAAUACCCGAAGCCUGUGAGCCAACAUAUUUAUAUGAGGCAGCAGUCGAAGGUAGAAUCGAUGAUUGGGGUG
rnacentral:rRNA from 1 species